rnacentral:rRNA from 1 species
CCUGGCUCACGAUGAACGCUGGCGGCGCGCCUAACACAUGCAAGUCGAACGGAACUUGAGAGAGCUUGCUUUUUCAAGUUUAGUGGCGAACGGGUGAGUAACGCGUGAGUAACCUGCCCUGGAGUGGGGGACAACAGUUGGAAACGACUGCUAAUACCGCAUAAGCCCACAGUGCCGCAUGGCACAGCGGGAAAAGGAUUUAUUCGCUUCAGGAUGGACUCGCGUCCAAUUAGCUAGUUGGUGAGGUAACGGCCCACCAAGGCGACGAUUGGUAGCCGGACUGAGAGGUUGAACGGCCACAUUGGGACUGAGACACGGCCCAGACUCCUACGGGAGGCAGCAGUGGGGGAUAUUGCACAAUGGGGGAAACCCUGAUGCAGCGACGCCGCGUGGAGGAAGAAGGUUUUCGGAUUGUAAACUCCUGUCGUACGGGACGAAUCAUGACGGUACCGUACAAGAAAGCCACGGCUAACUACGUGCCAGCAGCCGCGGUAAAACGUAGGUGGCAAGCGUUGUCCGGAAUUACUGGGUGUAAAGGGAGCGCAGGCGGACCGGCAAGUUGGAAGUGAAAUCUAUGGGCUCAACCCAUAAAUUGCUUUCAAAACUGCUGGCCUUGAGUAGUGCAGAGUAGGCGGAAUUCCCGGUGUAGCGGUGGAAUGCGUAGAUAUCGGGAGGAACACCAGUGGCGAAGGCGGCCUACUGGGCACCAACUGACGCUGAGGCUCGAAAGCAUGGGUAGCAAACAGGAUUAGAUACCCUGGUAGUCCAUGCCGUAAACGAUGAUUACUAGGUGUUGGAGGAUUGACCCCUUCAGUGCCGCAGUUAACACAAUAAGUAAUCCACCUGGGGAGUACGACCGCAAGGUUGAAACUCAAAGGAAUUGACGGGGGCCCGCACAAGCAGUGGAGUAUGUGGUUUAAUUCGAAGCAACGCGAAGAACCUUACCAGGUCUUGACAUCCGAUGCAUAGUGCAGAGAUGCAUGAAGUCCUUCGGGACAUCGAGACAGGUGGUGCAUGGUUGUCGUCAGCUCGUGUCGUGAGAUGUUGGGUUAAGUCCCGCAACGAGCGCAAUCCUUAUUGCCAGUUACUACGCAAGAGGACUCUGGCGAGACUGCCGUUGACAAAACGGAGGAAGGUGGGGAUGACGUCAAAUCAUCAUGCCCUUUAUGACCUGGGCUACACACGUACUACAAUGGCGUUUAACAAAGAGAAGCAAUACCGCGAGGUGGAGCAAAACUCAAAAACAACGUCUCAGUUCAGAUUGCAGGCUGCAACUCGCCUGCAUGAAGUCGGAAUUGCUAGUAAUCGCGGAUCAGCAUGCCGCGGUGAAUACGUUCCCGGGCCUUGUACACACCGCC